UUUGCCAUCCGGCUCCCUAUAGCCAAAUUUGGCGAUUCGACGAGAAAACUAGCUCCAACCGGUUCCGUAUCUGGCUCGCCAAAAAUCGGAGCUCGCUAUCACCUCCCCCUAGCUCGCCACAUCCAGCGAGAAGGAUAGCGCCUCCGCUCGCUCGCCAUCGACAACUGCCACCCCCUCCCCCUUGAAAUCUCUUCGCGCCAUCUGAAAGGUCGUCCCUGCCGUCGCCGUUUCAGAUCGUGGCACCACGUUCUUCCCCCUGCACCCCCCUGGCGCACCAGAUCUUGAGGUGGCGGUGCUACUCCCGGGUGCUCGCCGUGGUGGACGCGGUCCUGCUCACGGCCGCGCGGAGCUUCCAGAAAAAGGCCACCCAGGCCGCUGCCUGCAGUCGACGCCAAGGAUGACCACUGCCGCAGUCUAGUCUCCACUAGUCGUCAUUCAGCGAGUGCACGAGAAUGUCGUCGGUGCAGAUCUCUGGUGCCGGAUCUUAAGGUGCUCGCCGUGGACGUGGUCCUGCUCGAGUCAUGGAUACCUAUAUGCAGCUGUUGAGUAACCAAAAUGUUGGUGACAACCAAUUUUAGGGUGACAGCCAAUUUGCAAGUCCACCCGAGGAACAAGGAGGUGAGGAACUACAAGUUGUGGAACCUACACCACCUGUGAAACCAAGCAAGAAGAGAACAAAAAAAUUUAGUGAAAAGGAGGAUGUUCUUUUGGUGUCGGCAUGGCUAGAAAUCGGCAUGGAUGCCGUUCACGGCAAUGAACAAUCUCGUAGUACAUAUUGGCAAAGGAUUCAUGAGUGCUUCCAUGAGUAUAAGGACUUUGAAUCAGAUCGUUCUUCCAACUCUAUCAUGCACCGUUGGUCCACCAUACAAGAGAAUGUUAACAGAUUUUGUGGAUGGUAUGCUCAGAUUCAAAAUAGGAGGCAAAGUGAGGUGUCCGAGCAAGAUAAGGUACUUCAGGCAUGUGAAUUGUACAAGGCAAAAGACAAGGAUGGCAGAUCAUUCGGUUUGUUGCAUUGUUGGAAUAUCUUGCAGGACGAGCAAAAAUGGAAGGAUAGAUGCUCUCAAAAGAGAUAGAAGAUAUCCGCCAAUGCAAGUCCAAGAUCGUCUACUCCUGGAAGCAAUGAAAGUUGUAAUGAUGAAGAAGGGGAGGGUCUUACUUCAGAGCCCAGUGAUGAAAGGCCAGAUGGUAAGAAGAAGGAGAAAGAACGACAACGUCGAGGUAAAAAUUCGGUGUCUCCGGGAGAGAACCUUUACAUGGAAACUUUGAAAAAUAUGUGGGCCAAGAGGAAAGAGGCCGAAGCCUUGAAAGAGAUUAAGAAAAAAGAACGCAAUGAUGAGAGAAUUGCAUUGGAGAAGAAAAGGCUUGAACUAAAGGAGAGAGAUCUAGAGUUAAGAUAGAGGAUUGAAGAUGAUAAAGUGAUGAAUAUGGAUAUUAGUGGUAUGAGUGAGCGACAACAACAAUACUAUAUGAGAAUGCAAGAGGAGAUCAUUGCUCGACGGUUUGGCAUAGGGUCGGGUUAAGAUGAUUUAUUUUGUGUGGACUGAUCUUUUGUGUAUGAACAUGUUCUCUAGUGUUUUCUUGUAUGAACAUGUUAUUUUGUGUUCUCUUGUAUGAAUAUGUUAUUUUGUGUUCUCUUGUAUGAACAUGUUAUUGAAUGAACUAUGUUUUAUUAGGACAAUA